AAUAUCUCGACAUUUACCUCCGCUGGUUGCUUCUCUCUUCACUUCUUCAACCCCUUCCACCAGAGCAUUUUCUUUGAGGAUCUCUGGAACUCUCCAGUUCACAACCAAAGUCUCCAUUGAUCACUCGGCCUUAAUCCUUCUGAGCAUUCUCAUGAACCCUCUUCAGAUUCAUAGCUCUUGAAGCAUUUCAAGGUCAUUAACAAGGUCUUAUUCUUCCCUGUCGCUAUUUUUUGUUUUUUUCACUCUUUUUGGGUCAACUAGUAUACAGUAAGUGUUUCCGUUGUUGUUUACUUAAGGAUGAAGACUUGGUAUUUGUAAAAAUGUUGCUGUCUCAGCGGACACUGGGGAACCAUCUCAAUGGCUGAAUACAUGGAGGAAGUGUUUCCAAAUCAUAAGGUUGGGUUCUGCAUCAACAGGGAUGUGUUGGGGUCCAAGGUGAAUUCAUACUUCUCCUAAAGCGAGCCAGAUGUUCGGAGAGGCAUUCUGCAGAAGAAGCAUCAGGUUCCAUCCUUGGAUUCGCAUCAGUAGCAUUUCUACUUGCUCAGAUAUGAAACAUAUUGAAGAUUUAAUCACUUAACUGCUCAAAAUUUGUACAAAUAAGAUGAGCAGGCAGAGACCUUGAGGACAGGAUACUGGCGAUUGGUGGGAGAUGGAGAUGCCCCAUUCUGGGAGGGACCUGAUGAGCAAACACCCAUUAGUAUGGGUACAAGGUAUUUGAUAGUGGGAAGUGUGAACAGGAAGCAAUGUAUUUGUUCCAUUCUAAUAAUGUUUGAAAUAAAGAGGCUAGUAGAAAAAAUCUGAACUCUUGGCAUAUGUAUACUGGGAUGACCUGCUUGCCUUGGAAAUAUUAAUAUAUAUAUAUAUAUAUAUCUAAGUUUGCUUGACUAGUGUUAAUCUUGUAAUUUACCAGUCUUACAUGAUACAGAGUGAUCAUGAAUGAGAAUACGAUGUACUGAUCUUGUACUUUUCCUUCAGUUUCUCAUAUAUGGUUCAAAACAACAGUGUACUCAUAUUUUUAUCAGUUUCUUAGCUAUGUUUAUUGAAAUGUAUGUGCUGUUUUCUCCAUAAUAUUCUCAUUCUUAUGGACGUGGCUCAAGUGGAACAAUAAAUGGAAUCUGCUGGUACUUGCUUUGGAUGGAUUUUUUCUGAGCCUUGUUAAACAUUUUCAAGUAUUAUCCGAUAAUAGCUUAUAGGAGGGCAAUAUUAACCCUUUAAAGGAUGGCUUAUCACUUACUGUGUCAAAAUGAAUUAUCUAUAUUUUGUCCUCCCAUUAGGUUAGAAAAGGAAAUUAAGGGACAAUUGGCUCUAAAUACAAGAUAAUGCUACAUCAGUGGCAAGCAUAAUCCUCAUGAAUGAUCACUCUAUAUAAACUAGACUGGGUUUUUGACAAAACAAAAGGAACAAAUCUUAGCCAAGAUUUGUUCGAGUGCAGGCUAUAGAGUACAAGGUAGGGAUGGACCAGCUGAACUUGUGUAUUUCUGAAAUAACAAACCAAUAUUGGAUUUUUUCCAAUUAAUGGCAGGCAAGGAGGACCUUGAUGCAUCAUCAAGCAUAUUUACAGCAGAUGAGGUUGUUGACAUGGAUAAGAAGUCCACAGAUAAGAGACUUAUCAGAAGCGGUUGGCCCAGAAGAGAUAGUGCAAGAAAUUCAAUCCACUUAGCACGCACAACAUCCAGUAGAACCGUUCAAGGUGGUAAUGAUUCAAGUUGCUACCUUUUAGCCAUGGUUUGUGAUGGGAGUUACUGGUGACAGAAUUGA